rnacentral:rRNA from 2 species
AACGAACGCUGGCGGCAGGCCUAACACAUGCAAGUCGAACGCCCCUUCGGGGGAGUGGCAGACGGGUGAGUAACGCGUGGGAACAUACCUAUCGGUACGGAAUAACUUCAGGAAACCGGAGCUAAUACCGUAUACGCCCUUCGGGGGAAAGAUUUAUCGCCGAUAGAUUGGCCCGCGUUGGAUUAGCUAGUUGGUGAGGUAAAAGCUCACCAAGGCGACGAUCCAUAGCUGGUUUGAGAGGAUGAUCAGCCACACUGGGACUGAGACACGGCCCAGACUCCUACGGGAGGCAGCAGUGGGGAAUAUUGGACAAUGGGCGCAAGCCUGAUCCAGCCAUGCCGCGUGAGUGACGAAGGCCUUAGGGUUGUAAAACUCUUUCACCGACGACGAUAAUGACGGUAGUCGGAGAAGAAGCCCCGGCUAACUCCG